rnacentral:rRNA from 1 species
CCUACGGGAGGCAGCAGUGAGGAAUAUUGGUCAAUGGACGAGAGUCUGAACCAGCCAAGUAGCGUGCAGGAUGACUGCCCUAUGGGUUGUAAACUUCUUUUAUAUGGGAAUAAAAUGUUCCACGUGUGGGUUUUUGUAUGUACCAUACGAAUAAGGAUCGGCUAACUCCGUGCCAGCAGCCGCGGUAAUACGGAGGAUCCGAGCGUUAUCCGGAUUUAUUGGGUUUAACGGGUGCGUAGGUGGUUUGUUAAGUCAGUUGUGAAAGUUUGCGGCUCAACCGUGAAAUUGCAUUUGAAACUGGCAGUCGAGAGUGCAGUAGAGGUGGGCGGAAUGCGUGGUGUAGCGGUGAAAUGCUUAGAUAUCACGAAGAACACCGAUUGCGAAGGCAGCUCACUAGACUGCAACUGACACUGAGGCUCGAAAGUGUGGGUAGCAAACAGGAUUAGAUACCCGAGUAGUC